CGGCGGCGACGGAGCUCUGCGGCAUCCGGCUCUCCGUCCUCUGGAAGCUCCUCGGUGCCCACUGACUCAGGAGCUGGAGAUAGAGAGAGCCACAUGGUAGCUCGCGAGCCGCAGUUUGCCAAGCCCUGCACUAGACCUCUGAACUGCGGUUUGCCUGUCUGUAACGUGACACAAUUAACUGUUCCUUUAUAACUGUUGCUUUGCUGAUGAGAAGAGAUGCAGGUCAAGUGCUCAGCACGGCCUGGCAUACAAUAAAGCACUCUUCAAUGUGA